rnacentral:lncRNA from 1 species
AUGUUUCCAUAUCAGGGACCGUUUCUUUUAUGCAGCAGGAGCUCCCCGGCUAAUUCUGUUGCACAGCACAAGCACUGUUUUGUGCUGUUGUUUCUGAAAGAGCUGCCUUUCGGGCCCACUAAUUCUCUGUCCCCCAUCGCAUCGCUGGACCAGCCCCGUGCCGCUGCUUGCGGGGACCAGAGGGCAGGACCGUGCUCAGGGGAGGGAACAAACCCCGCCGUGUGCCACGGGCACAGAGGCUGCGAGCAUCUGCACCGGGGCAGCAGGAGGAGGUCGCUGGGUGCUGCUGGGUCCCUGCCCCUGCGGGGCCACCAGCACCCGUAUCUUGUGGUGCUGCCACAGCCCAGGCUCACGGGGUCAGGCUGGGAGGUUUACGGGGAGUUUUGCUCUUGGUUGGCUCUGGGAGACAGGGUUAGAGCUUUCAGCAGGCAGCGCUCAUCCUGCUGCUCCCCCCCCCAGCCUUGUUUUGGCCCAGGCAGCAGCUUCAGCUCCUCCGCACAAGGAUUUGCCAGCGCUCCCCGAAUCGCCCCGACACCGCUCCCGGUGCCUGCGUGCCCGCACCGGCUGCGGGUGUUAAAAUCCCCGCCUAGCUGCGAGCCCGGUCUGCGGCACGGAGCUGGGGCUGUGAGCGCCAGCUGGGUCGCUGUGCAGAGACAAACUGGCUGCCGGGGGCACCAUUUGCAUGAUUUCUGUUGUGGGGCUCAGGUGCAGCUUUGUGAGGCCGGGUUAGAGCUGCUCGGGGCCCGUGCCGCAGACACGUCUCUUCUGGGGCACGAUCCGCCGCCAUCGGCUCUGCAAGCAUCAUCCCACGAGCAAGGGAUUCCCCCAUGGCUUUUCCUAUUCCUCCCGCUGCAGAAAAGACGGAAUAAGGUGGAGGAGAUCAGGAGAUCAGUGGCUCUCGGUCAGGACAUCUUGAGCUCCAUCGUGCAGCCGAGUGUGGCGAGGGUCCCGCUCGGGGUUCGCCCCUUGCACGACUCGGGCAGUGCAGCCGGGACUGCUGGCCAUAGCACGCCAUCCUGCCAGGCCCUGGGUCUCCCCUCCCACUGCCCAGGCUCCUGA